AGGGGUGUCAUCCAACGGCAAGGAUGCUGGUUUCCAACUCCAGUCACGGGGGUUCGAGUCCCUCCACCUCUG
rnacentral:tRNA from 1 species